GUCUAUGGCCAUGACACCAUGAACAUGCCCAAUUCCAUGUGAUCUUGGAAGCUAAGCAGGGUUGGGCCUGGUUAGUACUUAGAUGGGAGACCACCUAGGAAAACUGGGUGCUGUAGGCA
rnacentral:rRNA from 1 species